AGUACACAAACAAGGUAAAUUCAACAAUUUGACCCAAAUGAGUUAGGUCACCCUCAUCAUACUUCAUAAUAGACAACUGAGUCAUAAAACAGAGAUAAAAGGACAGUGGUGAAAGGGGCCCAAAAUUUUGAGUCAAGAAGACUGGGGUCAAAUCCUGCCUCAGUUAGGUUCCAGCUUUCUUCCUCCCUUAAACUCUGAGCUUCCAGUUCUUCAUCUGUCAAGCAUGUACGAUGAUAGCAAUGCCUGUAUCUUCAACAGUAUUAUUGCAAAAGUUUCUACAAAGAGAGAGCUCGACAUAUCUAAGCCAUGUGAUGUGAAGAAAAUGGAGAAAACAAACAAAAAUCACCUCCGUUCCAGUUCUGGUUCAGCUUCUGACAGAAGGCCAGGAAACUGAGAAAGAACCAACCCUAAGAAGGAUGAGAGAAGCACAGUCCACCAGGCUAACACUGAGCAGCAAACUUAAAGACCACCAGUAGAAAUUCAGACUGAGGUCUUGUAGAGGGCAUAGGGCGUGGGUUCGUCAUUAAUAAAGCAGUAAAGACCCAGGA